UCUACCGACUUCACAAAUCACAAUAUGUAUUGCAAGGUUCCGGAUGUCUAAUGUUCAUGUUGGAAGGUUCCGGAUGUUCUUUGCUGUAAAUGCUAAGAACAUAGGAAAUGGACAACUACCCGUGCAAGCUAGCGAAAGCCUCUGCCUGCAUCGUUGGGCCAGGAUCUGAUUCCACUCUCCAACAAGACGACGAAGACACGCUGGGCGCCCCGAUAAGCCUAAGCAAGCAAGCCAAUCGACCCCGGAAUCAUCUUAACCCCGGGGACCCGGCCGGUAGUCCCGUAGGAAACCACAUUCCCCCCUCUUUCCCUUGCAAAGUUGCUUCUUUCUUUUCAGAUUCCGCUUUCUUCUCCGGCAAGGCUAAGCUGCCGUCGAGAGGAGGAGCGAUCCAUGAGCGACAAGUUCUACUGCAUGACGCUCCGGAUGAGCAUCGACUGCAACGGGUGCUACCACAAGAUCCGGAGAGCUCUCCUCGAGAUGCACGAUAUCGAGAGCCACCUGAUCGAGCGGAAGCAGCAGCGGGUGAUGGUGUCCGGCGCGUUCGUGCCGCAGGACGUGGCCAUCAAGCUCCGGAAGAGGACCAACCGCCGGGUCCAGAUAAUGGACAUCAAGGAGGUCGACGGGCACCACGCCUGACCCUGAAUGGCUCAACGCUCCAGAGCUGAUGCUGAACUGCUCGGCGAAACCCAACUGACGAAUGAUGAAGGACGUAUAGUAGCACUAACGAAGUUUCAAAGAUGCCAGAACUAUACAGUUUGUUGCUUCGAUUUAAAGAUAUUGGCUUGAACUAGUCGGUGUGUUUAACUCAAUGUAUUAGCAGAGGCAAGAGUACAGGGCACAUCCCUAAACCCCAGCCAAGUCCAUCCCCGUCAUUCGUCCGGUGGUUUCCAAUUGAUUUCCUCUUGGUACCUUGUGCUUCGCUUGAUUUGUCGGUACAGUGGUUCCAAUUUGCAGUUUGUUUUUUUGUUUUUUAAGAUCUGUUGCUUCGAAUUUCGGGUGAUUUAUAUUGGUCCAUUUUCCACUUUCCAA